CAAUAGCGUAUAUUAAAGUUGUUGCAGUUAAAAAGCUCGUAGUUGGAUUUCUGGUGGGAGCGAUCGGUCUGGCGCUUAGCGCGAGUACUUGCAUCGUCUCCGGCCAUCCUUGGGGAGAGUCUGUCUGGCAUUAGGUUGUCGGGCAGAGGAUCCUCAUCGUUUACUGUGAAAAAAUUAGAGUGUUCAAAGCAGGCUUAUGCCGUUGAAUAUAUUAGCAUGGAAUAAUAAGAUAGGACUUUGGUACUAUUUUGUUGGUUUGCGCACCAAAGUAAUGAUUAAUAGGGACAGUUGGGGGUAUUCGUAUUCCGUUGUCAGAGGUGAAAUUCUUGGAUUUACGGAAGACGAACUGCUGCGAAAGCAUUUACCAAGGAUGUUUUCAUUAA
rnacentral:rRNA from 1 species